GGGCCCGCACAAGCGGUGGAGUAUGUGGUUUAAUUCGAUGCAACGCGAAGAACCUUACCAGGGUUUGACAUCCUGCGAAUCUCUUGGAAACGAGAGAGUGCCUUCGGGAGCGCAGUGACAGGUGCUGCAUGGUUGUCGUCAGCUCGUGCCGUGAGGUGUCAGGUUAAGUCCUAUAACGAGCGCAACCCCUGUCCUAUGUUGCCAGCAUUUAGUUGGGGACUCAUAGGAGACUGCCGGUGAUAAACCGGAGGAAGGUGGGGACGACGUCAAGUCAUCAUGCCCCUUAUGUCCAGGGCUGCACGCAUGCUACAAUGGCAAGUACAAGCGAGUCGCAAUACCGCGAGGUGGAG
rnacentral:rRNA from 1 species